rnacentral:rRNA from 1 species
UUUUCUAUACCCGAAGUGGCUGAGCUAACCGCAAGGAGGCAGGUCCCAACGGUAUGGGGGAUGAUUGGGGUGAAGUCGUAACAAGGUAGCCGUAGGUGAACCUGCAGAAGGAUCA